UUCACCUCCCCCUUCUCUCUAGAACCUUAUGGUUCACCUUCUCCGAUGGCUCUCAUUGCCUCUCCGACCAAUUCCAGCCUCGCCUCUUUCGAUCAUCAGCCGCUGUGAAACCUUAUCUCACCGGCUCCCUCCAUAUUUGAAACUCCAAGAGUUUCCACCAUGCAAGAUGAUCCCUGGAAUCCUUGUAGCUUAUCUCCGGCUUGCUCUCCGGUGGUUUUCAGUCUAGUGGUGCUAUAAACACCACUAUUAACGAGUUUCACAACCAUGUUCCUUACCUCUCUGAUUUUUAUUGCCAAACCCUAAUUUUUGCAUAAGUCUCUUAAUCUCUGUCUUUUAUAAUGAUUUUCAGUUUAUUCUUUCUGUUUUACACUACUCACAACUCGAUUUCUUCGAUUUAUUCAAGGUUUUUCAACGUUUGUUCUUUUCUCAAAAAGCUAGGGUUUCUGAACCCAUUUGUCAAAAUCACUAUAUCGUCUGUUUCUUUUGAGUAUUAUGUGUGCCUGUAUUACGUGUUUGUUUGUGUUAUGAGCCUUUUUAUUUUCUGAGCUCCAUUUUUUUCUAUGGUUCCAACCCUCUAUCGCUUAUAUCAUUUCUUGCAUAAUGUUCUCUGAUUUUCACACCUAUUGUGUUAUAGGUGUAAUCGUUAUUCAAAUGAUUCUGUGCAUCUCUUUGAAUCCCUGAUUCGUAUGUGUUUUCUUUAAGGGUUCUUACAUUGAUUUUGGAAUUAUUUCCUUACUUGUGAGAUGCUAUCUAUACUUGGUUGAUUCCCUCUGAUUUUAGUCUUGUCCUUGAUUCUUUGACUAAUAUAAGAGUUAAUUUAUAUGUUUACCAUAUUUGUGUACUUAAAUAUGUUGUUUGAAUGCUCAAUACACGUUUUUCUUAUUUGGAGCAUUAUGUAUUUGGCCUUUAUUACAUGCUGCAUGCCUACUACUCUUUAUGUGGUGUAAUUAAUAGUCUGAUUGAUUCUUUCCUUAUCUGAUACUCCCAUUCGAAUCAUGAAUCCCUAGUUUAAAGGAAUUAAGGUCCUGUGAUUGAUUCAAAUUGGUACUGGU
rnacentral:lncRNA from 1 species